rnacentral:rRNA from 1 species
GAUGAACGCUGGCGGCGUGCCUAAUACAUGCAAGUCGAGCGAACGGACGAGAAGCUUGCUUCUCUGAUGUUAGCGGCGGACGGGCGAGUAACACGUGGAUAACCUACCUAUAAGACUGGGAUAACUUCGGGAAACCGGAGCUAAUACCGGAUAAUAUUUUGAACCGCAUGGUUCAAAAGUGAAAGACGGUCUUGCUGUCACUUAUAGAUGGAUCCGCGCUGCAUUAGCUAGUUGGUAAGGUAACGGCUUACCAAGGCAACGAUGCGUAGCCGACCUGAGAGGGUGAUCGGCCACACUGGAACUGAGACACGGUCCAGACUCCUACGGGAGGCAGCAGUAGGGAAUCUUCCGCAAUGGGCGAAAGCCUGACGGAGCCACGCCGCGUGAGUGAUGAAGGUCUUCGGAUCGUAAAACUCUGUUAUUAGGGAAGAACAUAUGUGUAAGUAACUGUGCACAUCUUGACGGUACCUAAUCAGAAAGCCACGGCUAACUACGUG